CCUUGUCCAUGCCCCUGUCCUGAGCCCGGUGAGAGAUGCUUGCCUCCAGGCUGGACAGUGGUGGAUGGUAGUGCACAUCUGGACAGGGCCCAGUUCCCUCUGGGCCCUGAUGGAAUCCCACUCUCAGAGCCUGACAGCCCAUCUAACUUGUCCUUGCAGCAAACUGAGCAGCCAGUUUGUCUCUUGCCUUCAUAGAGCGAGGAGUCCUGUGGCUGGUUGUCCUUGCUGGUGGCAAUGUCUCCUUGGGCCGGGCUCCUCUCCAGCACCUCCAGGGUCAGCCUGCUGCUGCUGCUGGGCUCUGUGCUCCUCUCCUGCUCCAGCCUGGGACAGAGAGUGCCUGAGUUUGCCCUUACAAAAAUAGAAGAGAGCGACAUAAAAGAUGACAGUGGGAAGGAGCUGGGGACAGAGGAUGACGCUGAUCCUGAAGACCUGGAAGUGUUUUACCCCACGGAUCAGUGGCAAACCCUGCGUCC